UGGACUGAGAACACGCCCAGACUCCUACGGAGGCAGCAGUGGGGAUUUUGACAAUGGGGAAACCUGAUCCAGCCAUCCCGCGUGUAUGAUGAAGCCUUCGGGUUGUAAAGUACUUUUGCAGAGAAGAAAAGGUAUCUCCUAAUACGAGAUACUGCUGACGGUAUCUGCAGAAUAAGCACCGGCUAACUACGUGCCAGCAGCCGCGGUAAUACGUAGGGUGCAAGCGUUAAUCGGAAUUACUGGGCGUAAAGCGUGUGUAGGCGGUUCGGAAAGAAAGAUGUGAAAUCCCAGGGCUCAACCUUGGAACUGCAUUUUUAACUGCCGAGCUAGAGUAUGUCAGAGGGGGGUAGAAUUCCACGUGUAGCAGUGAAAUGCGUAGAUAUGUGGAGGAAUACCGAUGGCGAAGGCAGCCCCCUGGGAUAAUACUGACGCUCAGACACGAAAGCGUGGGGAGCAAACAGGAUUAGAUACCCUGGUAGUCCACGCCCUAAACGAUGUCAACUAGCUGUUGGGGCCGUUAGGCCUUAGUAGCGCAGCUAACGCGUGAAGUUGACCGCCUGGGGAGUACGGUCGCAAGAUUAAAACUCAAAGGAAUUGACGGGGACCCGCACAAGCGGUGGAUGAUGUGGAUUAAUUCGAUGCAACGCGAAAAACCUUACCUACCCUUGACAUGUCUGGAAUCCCGAAGAGAUUUGGGAGUGCUCGCAAGAGAACCGGAACACAGGUGCUGCAUGGCUGUCGUCAGCUCGUGUCGUGAGAUGUUGGGUUAAGUCCCGCAACGAGCGCAACCCUUGUCAUUAGUUGCUACGCAAGAGCACUCUAAUGAGACUGCCGGUGACAAACCGGAGGAAGGUGGGGAUGACGUCAAGUCCUCAUGGCCCUUAUGGGUAGGGCUUCACACGUCAUACAAUGGUCGGGACAGAGGGUCGCCAACCCGCGAGGGGGAGCCAAUCUCAGAAACCCGAUCGUAGUCCGGAUCGCAGUCUGCAACUCGACUGCGUGAAGUCGGAAUCGCUAGUAAUCGCGGAUCAGAAUGUCGCGGUGAAUACGUUCCCGGGUCUUGUACACACCGCCCGUCACACCAUGGGAGUGGGUUUCACCAGAAGUAGGUAGCCUAACCGUAAGGAGGGCGCUUACCACGGUAYUNC
rnacentral:rRNA from 1 species